CACCCUAGCUGGCCUGGGACUCUCUAUGCACAGAGAUUUGCUUGCCUCUGACACAGGAUAAAAGGCCUAGGACACUAGCUCUAGUGUUUUUUGAGGGGCAAGAAAGGAUGAAAGGUAGACCAUUUCCUUCCUUCCGUGACAUCAUUGUGAACAUGCUGCACACACGGAGAGGAUGUAAUGGCGUGUCACAGAUGGAACUAUGUCCCCCCCACGCAUAUGGAGAAGCUCUGAUGCCCAGGACCUCAGAAUACCACUGCACCAGCGCUCCUCAGUCCUCACAGGGGAGGGGUUUCCAGGACCCCCUUGGGUAUCAAAGUUUGUGAUGCUGAAGUCCCCUAAAUAAAUGGUCUCAUGUUUAGACAGAA